AUGCAGUUUGACAUCAGCCGGCCGGCGAGGGCGCGCCUGGAGCCGGAGCACGUGCCAGGAUGUUUUAUUGCCGCCGCGGCUGCGGCCGGGCCGGGAGGAUGUGUGUGUGCGUGCGUGUGUGAGUGUGUGUGCGCGCGCCCCGGGGGCAGGGAGGCGGGGGGCGGCGGCGGGCGGCGGAGCGCGGGGGCUGGUUCUCGGUCCCCGGGAGAAGCCAAGAAGGUAAAUAGCAGCUGCUGUGCUCGAGCCUGGGAAAACCCCGCCCCCUGCGCCUGGCCGGGGCUCAUUGGCGCGCGCUGCGUGUGGGGUGUGUGUGUGUGUGUCCGGGGCCCCCUCCUCCGGCCCCCGCCGCGCCAGGAAUCCGAGGGGGCGGCGGGCUGGGAGCCGAGCCCCGGCGCUUACCACCGCCCCCCGCCUUUCCCCGGCCAAGCCUGCCAGAGCCGAGGUAGCUGCCCUGCCAAGAGCUAUCCUGGGAGAGCUAUUGAAAGAGCCUUGAAGCAGAUGGGCCUGGAGCUUCCCCACCUUCUGGUUUGCACUAGGUUGUGUGCUAAUAUGGCGAUGCGACCAGGGGACUUUGCACCUGCCAAGCAUGGCCGAGAACAUCCAUCUCCCUUGGACAUGUGAAUGCAAAGAAAGCAAGUGCUGUAAUCUGAAAUCCAGGCCAUUGUUUAAUGGCAGAAGGAAGACCCCAAAGAAAGGAGCUUUUUCCCACCCCAAACACUCGCUCCUUUGGUCUUGAAUUUGACCGUGUUCUUUUAUGGAAAACAACAACAAAACAAAACAAAAACACACAAAACUUUUUUUCUGAAUAGCUCAAAGUCAAGGUUUGCUGUUUGUUAUUUCCUUAAAAAAAGUCAAGAAAGAAAAGAAAAUUGGGUCCCUAGCCUGAAUGUUCUCCUAUGUGCCUAUUUAAUGAUUAAUAACACCUUGUGGGCUAUUGUUUGAUGUGGCCUCUGCUGGUUUGAACAGGAGAAUACUGAUUCACUCUCAAGGCAUUUAUGAAUCACAAGUGUUUACCCUGAGACAAUAAAUGAAAGGGGGAGAUUGAAAAAAAAACA
rnacentral:lncRNA from 1 species